UAAGCAUAUAAGUAAGUGGAGGAUUUGAAACCAAAUGGGAAUUCUUAAGUAAUGGCGAAUGAACAGGGAUAUGCCUAGUGUGGAAAUUGAGGUUGAUGACCUUGAAUUGUUUUCUUCAGACACUCUUCCAGCAAAGGUGCACAUGUAGAUGUUGUGGAAAAAGAUUUCGAGGAAGGUGACAUGCCUGUCUGAGUUGUGUGACCCUUUGUAUACGGGAUGUGUUUUACAAGUCACGUUCCUUGGAAUUGGAAUGCAAAGUUGGUGGUAAUUUUCACCCAAGGCUAAUUAUGAUUGUGAAACCGAUAGCAAACAAGUACCAUGAGGGAAACAUGAAAAGGACUUUGAAAAGAGGGUUAAAAGUGCUUGAAAUUGCUGAACUGGAAGCGAAGGAUGUCUGAGUGCCGAUGAUAGAUUGCUGCCGUUGCAUGCUGCUUGAUUGGUUUGAGACAUGCAAGCUUGUGCAUGGAGUUAUGCAAGGGUUGUGUUGCUGUCGUGGCGUGCUAGUGCCUUUGUGUGUUGGAGCAUGUGUGUCGAAGCAUGGAAGCUCGCUGGUUGAGUGUGUGAAUGCUCGGUUGUUGCUCAGACACAUUGAGUGUAAUGGUUUCUUUUGGAAUGUAUCAGCUUCCACCUGUGGUUGUGGAUCCUAUUCUUGUGUGCAAGCCAU
rnacentral:rRNA from 1 species